rnacentral:lncRNA from 1 species
GCAGUCUUUCCCCUCUGAUGAAUGGAUAAUUGAUUUUUUUUUAUUGAUUGAUUUGGAAAAAAGGGGGGGGGGGUAUUUGUUUUUUUGUUUGUUUGCUUGUUAAAGGGGUCUAUAUUAUUAUGUUACCGGAGAAGUUUCAUGUUUAGUUUGGAAAGUUUUUCUUUUAUUUUAGAUACAGCGCGCGCGCAAGAUUGAGGAGACAUCACGUGACGCGGGUUUAUAUUAAGAAAAACUUAGUCUUUUUAUUUCUUUUUAGGUCGGGACGUUUGAACAGACAACAUGUAUAGAGAUGGAAUGUACACAAUGUAAUUUCUUUUGUCAUUGUAGGAAAUUGACAUUUUGAUCACAGUUCACCAGCAGUGCAUGUUUUGGAUUUAAUCGAUCCGGUGUAACUUUAAAACACAUUUAAUGAUUAUUUUUUGAUAAUGUCCAUUUUUCAGCACCUGUUUGUAACACAGAUUAGUAUUUCAAUCUCGGAGCGGACAUUUUAUUGUAGGUUUUUACUGAGAUUGACGGACCUAGCAAGCGAUUUUUACGGCAUUGCCAUUUCUUUUUUCUAGGAAAAGUCUUGAGAGAUAUCUGCAAAAAGUUUUUUUAUGAACCUUCAGUACAUGUAUGCCCUGCUGACUGCAAAUUUUCAGGUCGAUUGGACUUGUAGUUUCAGAGAAUAUGUGGAUUUUUUUUCAGAAGAGACGUAAGAACAAUAAUAAAAUAAAAAUUUUCUUGAAUAAUUGAGAGUUUGUUCCUUCAAUAAACUGUCAUAAAUAAACAGUCAUACAUAUUGAUUGAUUGAUUAGUUGGUUGAUUGAUUGGUUGGUUGGUUGGUUGGUUGGUUUGUUGGUUGGUUGAUUAAACACGUUUGAUAGGGUCACUUAGAACAAGGGAAAAAAACCUCAAGAGACCUUGCAUCCCGUAUUAAACGCAUGACACGGAAACAUACAUUAAGUGAUUGAUUGGUUGGUUGGUUGGUUAAACACGUUGGUUAAACAUGUUGGUUUAACACGUUGGUUAAACACGUUGGCUGGUUAAACACGUUUGAUAGGCUCAAUUUAAACAAGCGAAAAAAAACCAUCUUGGAUCCCGUAUUUAACACAUGAAACGGAAACAUGCAUUGAUUUAUUUAUUGGUUGGUUGGUUGGUUGGUUAAACACGUUGGUUAAACAUGUUGGUUAAACAUGUUGGUUAAACACGUAGUUUAAACACGUUGGCUGGUUAAACACGUUUGAUAGGCUCAAUUUUAACAAGCGAAAAAAAACCAUCUUGGAUCCCGUAUUUAACACAUGAAACGGAAACAUGCAUUGAUUGAUUGAUUGGUUGGUUGGUUGGUUGGUUGGUUGGUUGGUUGGUUGGUUAAACACGUUGGUUAAACACACGUUGGUUAAAACACGUUGGCUGGUUAAACAGAUUGGAUAGGCUCAAAAUCUUGGAUCCCGUAUUUAACACAUGAAACGGAAACAUGCAUUGAUUGAUUGAUUGAUUGAUUGGUUGGUUGGUUGGUUGGUUAAACACGUUGGUUAAACAUGUUGGUUAAACACGUUGGUUAAACAUAUUGGUUAAACACGUUGGCUGGUUAAACACGUUAGAUAGGCUCAAUUUAAACAAGCGAAAAAAAAAAACAUCUUGGAUCCCGUAUUUAACACAUGAAACGGAAACAUGCAUUGAUUGAUUGAUUGAUUGGUUGGGUUGGUUGGUUGGUUAAACAUGUUGGUUAAACAUGUUGGUUAAAACACGUUGGUUAAACACGUUGUAGAUAGGCUCAAUUUAAACGAGCGAAAAAAAAACAUCUUGGAUCCCGUAUUUAACACAUGAAACGGAAACAUGCAUUGAUUGAUUGAUUGAUUGAUUGGUGGUUGGUUGGUUAAACACGUUGGUUGAACAUGUUGGUUAAACACGUUGGUUAAACAGGUUAAACACGUUUAAACAUGUUGGUUAAACACGUUUGAUAGGCUCAAUUAAAACAAGCGAAAAAAAAGAGACCUUGAAUCCCGUAUCAAACACAUGAAACGGAAACAUUGAUUGAUUGAUUGAUUGAUUGAUUGAUUGAUUGAUUGGUUGGUUGGUUGGUUGGUUGGUUGGUUGGUUGGUUGGUUGGUUGAAAUUCAAACACACAUAAAACUGUUUAAAUAGUGCCAAAACCACAUAAUUUGAUGACCUUGACCUUUGACCUUGUGACCUUCGUCAAGGUCAUUGCUCCACAAGGUCAUUGCAAAAGACCCUAUGGGUCAAGGACCUUUGUUUAAGAGUUUUGCCUAAAUAUGGCUUUUUAAAAACCAUCGAUGGGAGUUAUGUCCCUUACAUGAUGGUAAAAUCAAUAUAGUCAUAAUGUAAAAAAGUUGCCCCUUGAAGUACUUAACAUUUUUCACUGCUUAAAUUUUCUGUAUCUAUAACCAUUCAAGAAUUAUAGGGAAAUCAAAGACAUAUGAAAAUCUAAAAUAUGACCUUGACCUUUGACCUUGACCUAAUUUUCUAAGUUAGGAAUCAGGGGACUCAAAUAAAAACAUUCCAGGGUUAUACGGUUAACGGUUUAUGAGUUAAAAAAAACAUACCGACAAAUUUAUUCCGUAAAGAUAGAUAAACUCCUAUAAAAUUUCAUCGAAUCGCUUCGAUCCAAAUUAGCCAAAAUUUUCUGAGGAUGUAACGAACAAUUUGUAAAAAGAAUUUUGUCGCUAUCUUUUUUUGUUACGAAGGAGAUGCACACACAUGAUAAACAGUGAAUAGGGAGAUAACUCUUACAGAGAAAAUUGUUCGUCUUAGCAGGGUGAAAUUUAAAAGCGCAUAAACUAUACGAUACAAUAUGAGAAAUAUCUAAGCGACAUAUUGCGAAACAAACAUUUAUCGCAAGAACAAAAUUUGGCGGAAAAAAAAAAAAAAUAAUAAUAAUAAUAAUAAUAAUCAAUACAAUUGUUUAAAAAAGCAAUUGUUAGGGGGUCUUUCCCCUCUGAUGAAUGGAUAAUUGAUUUUUUUUAUUGAUUGAUUUGGAAAAAGGGGGGGGGUUUGUUUGUUUGUUUGUUUGUUGUUUUGUUUGUUGUUUGUUUCUGUAUGGGGUCUAUAUUAUUAUGUUACCGGAGAAGUUUCAUGUUUAGUUUGGAAAGUUUUUCUUUUAUUUUAGAUACAGCGCGCGCGCAAUAUUGAGGAGACAUCACGUGACACGGGUUUAUAAUAACGAAAAGAUAGUCUUUUUAUUUCUUUUUAGGUCGGGACUUUGAACAGACAACAUGUAUAGAGAUGGAAUGUACACAAUGUAAUUUCUUUUGUCAUUGUAGGAAAUUGACAUUUUGAUCACAGUUCACAAGCAGUGCAUGUUUUGGAUUUAAUUGAUUCCGGUGUAACUUUAAAACACAUUUAAUGAUUAUUUUUUGAUAAUGUCCAUUUUUCAGCACCUGUUUGUAACACAGAUUAGUAUUUCAAUCUCGGAGCGGACAUUUUAUUGUAGGUUUUUACUGAGAUUGACGGACCUAGCAAGCGAUUUUUACGGCAUUGCCAUUUCUUUUUUCUAGGAAAAGUCUUUGAGAGAUAUCUGCAAAAGUUUUUUUAUGAACCUUCAGUACAUGUAUGCCCUGCUGACUGCAAAUUUUCAGGUCGAUUGGACUUGUAGUUUCAGAGAAUAUGUGGAUUUUUUUUCAGAAGAGACGUAAGAACAAUAAUUGAAAUUUCGAAAUUUUUCAUUGAAUAAUUGAGAGUUUGUUGAUUCAAUGAUGUCAUGAUUGAUUAAUUGAUUGAUUGAUUUUGAUUGGUUGAUUGGUUGGUUGGUUGGUUGGUUGGUUGGUUGAUUUUAAACACGUUUGCUAUAAACAUGUUGCUUAAACACGUUGGGAAAAAGGCUCAAGAAUUGGAUCCCGUAUUUAACGCAUGAAACGGAAACAUGCAUUGAUUGAUUGAUUGAUUGGUUGGUUGGUUGGUUAAACACGUUGGUUAAACAUGUUGGUUAAACACAUUGGUUAAACAUAUUGGUUAAACACGUUGGCUGGUUAAACACGUUGGAUAGGCUCAAUUUAAACAAGCGAAAAAAAAAAACCAUCUUGGAUCCCGUAUUUAACACAUGAAACGGAAACAUGCAUUGAUUGAUUGAUUGGUUGGUUGGUUAAACACGUUGGUUAAACAUGUUGGUUAAACACGUUGGUUAAACAUAUUGGUUAAAACACGUUGGCUGGUUAAACACGUUGGAUAGGCUCAAUUUAAACAAGCGAAAAAAAAAACACAUCUUGGAUCCCGUAUUUAACACAUGAAACGGAAACAUGCAUUGAUUGAUUGGUUGGUUGGUUGGUUGGUUGGUUGGUUAAACACGUUGGUUAAACAUAUUGGUUAAACACGUUGGCUGGUUAAACACGUUGGAUAGGCUCAAUUUAAACAAGCGAAAAAAAACAUCUUGGAUCCCGUAUUUCACACAUGAAACGGAAACAUGCAUUGAUUGAUUGAUUGAUUGGUUGGUUGGUUGGUUGGUUGGUUGGUUGGUUGGUUGGUUGGUUGGUUAAACACGUUGUGUUAAACAUGUUGGUUAAACACGUUGGUUAAACAUAUUGGUUAAACAGGUUAAACACGUUUGAUAGGCUCAAUUAAAACAAGCGAAAAAAAAGAGACCUUGAAUCCCGUAUCAAACACAUGAAACGGAAACAUUGAUUGAUUGAUUGAUUGAUUGAUUGAUUGAUUGAUUGAUUGAUUGAUUGAUUGGUUGGUUGGUUGGUUGGUUGGUUGGUUGGUUGGUUGAAAUUCAAACACACAUAAAACUGUUUAAAUAGUGCCAAAACCACAUAAUUUGAUGACCUUGACCUUUGACCUUGUGACCUUCGUCAAGGUCAUUGCUCCACAAGGUCAUUGCAAAAGACCCUAUGGGUCAAGGACCUUUUGUUUAAGAGUUUUGCCUAAAAAUGGCUUUUUAAAAACCAUCGAUGGGAGUUAUGUCCCUUACAUGAUGGUAAAAUCAAUAUAGUCAUAAUGUAAAAAAGUUGCCCC